CCUUUGACGUUAGCGGCGGACGGGUGAGUAACACUGGGUAACCUACCUAUAAGACUGGGAUAACUUCGGGAAACCGGAGCUAAUACCGGAUAAUAUUUCGAACCGCAUGGUUCGAUAGUGAAAGAUGGUUUUGCUAUCACUUAUAGAUGGACCCGCGCCGUAUUAGCUAGUUGGUAAGGUAACGGCUUACCAAGGCGACGAUACGUAGCCGACCUGAGAGGGUGAUCGGCCACACUGGAACUGAGACACGGUCCAGACUCCUACGGGAGGCAGCAGCC
rnacentral:rRNA from 1 species